rnacentral:rRNA from 1 species
UACGUAGGGCGCAAGCGUUAUCCGGAAUUAUUGGGCGUAAAGAGCUCGUAGGCGGUUUGUCGCGUCUGCCGUGAAAGUCCGGGGCUCAACUCCGGAUCUGCGGUGGGUACGGGCAGACUAGAGUGAUGUAGGGGAGACUGGAAUUCCUGGUGUAGCGGUGAAAUGCGCAGAUAUCAGGAGGAACACCAAUGGCGAAGGCAGUUCUCUGGGACGGUACUGACGCUGUGACGCGAAAGCGUGGGGAGCGAACAGG